rnacentral:rRNA from 1 species
UACGGGGUGCAGCAGGCGCGAAAACUUUACAAUGCUGGCAACAGCGAUAAGGGAACCUCGAGUGCCAGGUUACAAAUCUGGCUGUCGAGAUGCCUAAAAAGCAUUUCAUAGCAAGGGCCGGGCAAGACCGGUGCCAGCCGCCGCGGUAACACCGGCGGCUCGAGUGGUGGCCGUUAUUAUUGGGUCUAAAGGGUCUGUAGCCGGCCGGAUAAGUCUCUUGAGAAAUCUGGCAGCUUAACUGUCAGGCUUUCAGGAGAUACUGUCUGGCUCGAGGCCGGGAGAGGUGAGAGGUACUUCAGGGGUAGGGGUGAAAUCUUGUAAUCCUUGAAGGACCACCAGUGGCGAAGGCGUCUCACCAGAACGGACCUGACGGCAAGGGACGAAAGCUAGGGGCACGAACCGGAUUAGAUACCCGGGUAGUCCUAGCCGUAAACGAUACUCGCUAGGUGUCGGCCACGGUGCGACCGUUGUCGGUGCCGUAGGGAAGCCGUGAAGCGAGCCACCUGGGAAGUACGGCCGCAAGGCUGAAACUUAAAGGAAUUGGUGGGGGAGCACCACAACGGGUGGAGCUUGCGGUUUAAUUGGAUUCAACGCCGGAAAUCUUA